rnacentral:rRNA from 1 species
AAUCAACGCUGGCGGCGUGCCUAACACAUGCAAGUCGAACGCGAAAAUGGAGCAAUCCAUGAGUAGAGUGGCAAACGGGUGAGUAACACGUGGGUGACCUGCCUUCGAGUGGGGGAUAACGUCCCGAAAGGGACGCUAAUACCGCAUAAUAUGCUGUCUUUUAAGAGAGAGACAUCAAAGCCGGGGACCGCAAGACCUUGCGCUAUGAGAUGAGCCGAAGUCGGAUUAGCUAGUUGGUGAGGUAAAGGCUCACCAAGGCGACGAUCCGUAGCUGGUCUGAGAGGACGACCAGCCACACUGGGACUGAGACACGGCCCAGACUCCUACGGGAGGCAGCAGUGGGGAAUCUUAGACAAUGGGCGCAAGCCUGAUCUAGCCAUGCCGCGUGGACGAUGAAGGCCUUAGGGUUGUAAAGUCUUUCAGAUGGGAAGA